AAUGGUUUAGUUGUUAAAGGAGUAUCAGUAACAGUUGGUGGUACAACCUUUGCUUCAGUGUCAAAUAUUUCCUUCUGUGAUAAAGGAACCUGUUUUGUUGGCGGUGCAGCCACUGGUUCAGAUAGUUUUGUUUCACUACUAGCUACUCCCUUUUUGGGGUCAAGCCUUGAGUAAUGUUGGACGCUAUAAACAAGAACCUCAGCUUCAACUAUAAGGGUAUCGGCCAAAAGAUACCCUUCUGCAGGAUUUUU
rnacentral:misc_RNA from 1 species